GGGGGUAUAGCUCAGUGGUAGAACAUUCGACUGCAGCUCGAGAGGUCCAUGGUUCAAAUCUGGGUGCCCCCU